rnacentral:rRNA from 1 species
CUUUUGCUGGCGACCGGCGCACGGGUGAGUAACACUAUCCAACCUGCCCUUUACUCGGGGAUAGCCUUUCGAAAGAAAGAUUAAUACCGAUAGCAUAAUGAUUCCGCAUGGUUUCAUUAUUAAAGGAUUCGGUAAAGGAUGGGGAUGCGUUCCAUUAGGUUGUUGGUGAGGUAACGGCUCACCAAGCCUUCGAUGGAUAGGGGUUCUGAGAGGAAGGUCCCCCACAUUGGAACUGAGACACGGUCCAA